rnacentral:rRNA from 1 species
GACGAACGCUGGCGGCGUGCUUAACACAUGCAAGUCGAACGGUGAAGCGCCUUCCUUUUUGGUGGGUGUGGAUGAGUGGCGAACGGGUGAGUAACACGUGAGUAACCUGCCCCCUUCUUCUGGAUAACCGCAUGAAAGUGUGGCUAAUACGGGAUAUUCUGGGUCUGUCGCAUGAUGGGUCUGGGAAAGAUAUUGUUUCGGUGGGGGAUGGGCUCGCGGCCUAUCAGCUUGUUGGUGGGGUGAUGGCCUACCAAGGCGGUGACGGGUAGCCGGCCUGAGAGGGUGGACGGCCACACUGGGACGGAGACACGGCCCAGACUCCUACGGGAGGCAGCAGUGGGGAAUAUUGCACAAUGGGCGCAAGCCUGAUGCAGCGACGCCGCGUGAGGGAUGGAGGCCUUCGGGUUGUGAACCUCUUUCGCCAGUGAAGCAGGCCUGCCUCGUUUGUGGGUGGGUUGACGGUAGCUGGAUAAGAAGCGCCGGCUAACUACGUG